rnacentral:rRNA from 1 species
ACAUCCAGCGAACUUGGCAGAGAUUGCCUUGGUGGCCUUCGGGAACGCUGAGACAGGUGCUGCAUGGCUGUCGUCAGCUCGUGUUGUGAAAGUGUUGGGUUAAGCCCGNAACGAGCGCAACCCUUAUCCUUGUUGCCAGCGAUUCGGUCGGGAACUCAAAGGAGACUGCCGGUGAUAAACCGGAGGAAGGUGGGGAUGACGUCAAGUCAUCAUGGCCCUUACGAGUAGGGCUACACACGUGCUACAAUGGCGCAUACAAAGAGAAGCGACCUCGCGAGAGCAAGCGGACCUCAUAAAGUGCGUCGUAGUCCGGAUCGGAGUCUGCAACUCGACUCCGUGAAGUCGGAAUCGCUAGUAAUCGUGGAUCAGAAUGCCACGGUGAAUACGUUCCCGGGCCUUGUACACACCGCCCGUCACACCAUGGGAGUGGGUUGCAAAAGAAGUAGGUAGCUUAACCCUCGGGAGGGCGCUUACCACUUUGUGAUUCAUGACUGGGGUGAAGUCGUAACAAGGUAGGCGUAGCGAG